AUUGAACGCUGGCGGCAGGCCUAACACAUGCAAGUCGAAUGAGCGGCGGACGGGUGAGUAAUGUAUGGGAAUCUGCCUGAUGGAGGGGGAUAACUACUGGAAACGGUAGCUAAUACCGCAUACCAUCAGAUGAACCCAGAUGGGAUUAGCUUGUAGGUAGGGUAACGGCUUACCUAGGCGACGAUCCCUAGCUGGUCUGAGAGGAUGACCAGCCACACUGGGACUGAGACACGGCCCAGACUCCUACGGGAGGCAGCAGUGGGGAAUAUUGCACAAUGGGCGCAAGCCUGAUGCAGCCAUGCCGCGUGUAUGAAGAAGGCCUUCGGGUUGUAAAGUACUUUCAGCGGGGAGGCGUUACCGACAGAAGAAGCACCGGCUAACUCCGUGCCAGCAGCCGCGGUAAUAC
rnacentral:rRNA from 1 species